rnacentral:lncRNA from 1 species
AGAUGACGUCUAUAUUGCAGUCAGUGGUUUGUGCGGUUUGGUAAUCGUGAAUAUAAUGUACCUUGGUUUAUCCAAAACCGAGAAAUUCUGUGUUAUAUUGCAUUUUGAUUUGUUGACAGUAAUAGAUAUUUAUAACAUUCUGAAAGGUUCGAAAAAAAGCUGAGCCACCGUAAUAUCCAUACUAUACAGUUAUGUUUUGGCUGAUAUACCUCGUUGCCUUGUUGCAGACUUUGCAGGCAGAGGCCGCUCUCAUCGACCCGACAGCGCUAUCUGUGACCGGAAUCCGUCCUGACGACCCGCCCAUCGUCCAGCGACUGGAAACCAGAGGCGGACCAGAACCGCAGAGUGUUCCCUUUCCGACACUUCCUGCUUACACCGCGGCGAAAAAAGUCGAGAAAAAACCUCACAUAGGCAUCCGGUUCAAAAGAUGGGCCAGAAAAAAUGAAGCUGCUCUGCACCUCAUGUGUUGCUGCUGCCUCGCACAUUGCGGUGACAAAGAUGAUUGACGUUAUUAAUGAUGACCACGAUUAUAUGGAGCGCGUUUAGCAGAAAUGAACCAAGCCACAUCAGCAAUGGACCACUAGACAAGGUACGAAUUUCAGCAUUCUGAUACAUGUUUCUUAACCAAAAUUUCACGUAGAACACGAUGUGCAGAUUGAAAUUACCGAAAUUAACUCCUUACGAAGAUAUUUAAUGAUUCUUGAUGCGUGAAUUCAAACCACCCGCUCAUGAAAACUCAAUGCUCUACGUGAUUCACAUCGCGCGCUGAACGUUAUCAUGACAGUCUCUACGAUAUACAAAUCUGGCAACCUCAAUCUUGACGCUUUGGCUCAGCUCUAGCAAAUUGCUGAUAGUUUGAACAACGCAUGGUGGGAAAUGAACAUUGCUCGAUGAACAAGCUUGCUGAAACCGUUGUUGUGCGCGAUUUGACUCACGUAGAGCUUUGAGUUUCUUGUGAGCGGGCAGUUCAAAUUCCUCGUAACCAAUGUGUAAUAAAAACGUUAAUAUCUUCGUUAAAAGGUUGGUUUCAGUAAUUUUGGUCGUAAGAAACGUGUUCUACGUGAAAUUAAGGUGAAGAAAUAUGUAUCAGAUUGCUUAAAUUCGUACCUUGUCUAGUGGUCCAUUGCCAAAUUUAACCGGGCAAUACGAUUUUUUACAAGAUAACGUUUGUGCGGAAACCUUUGGAAAUGUUAAGGCAUUUGCUUUGUACAAUGUAGACUAAUCACAGGAAGCACUAAAAUCCGCAACCCAUUUUCGUGUAAAAACCCGAAUUGCCCACAUAAACUUGGCAAUUGCUGAUGUGGCUUGGUCCCUUUCUGCUAAACGCGGUUCAUUUAAUAAUCGAUGCUACAAGGGUACGUACACAAUAAACAGAAAGGCACCAAGCCACAUCAGCUUUUGCCAAAUUUAACCGGGCAAUUUAAUUUUUUCAAAGAGAACGUUUGUGCGGAUUCCUUUGAAAAUAAGGAAUUUGCUGCGAUGCAGAUAAUUCACUGAAAUUUGCACGAAAAUAUGCAAACACGUUUACAUGUAAAAACCACUAUAUCCUAAUCAAAUUUGUAUGGCUUGGUUCUUUUCUGCUUAAAGCGGUCCAUAUUCACCCGAAAAUCUAAGUUACCUCGUAUUUUGCCGUGAUGGCGAAGAGAGCCGUAAGUCACACAUUUCGACAGUGAAAUACCAAGCCACGUAUCUCGUUUGCGGUUUUUCAAGAACUCCGGUAUCGUUUUAUUUUUUUGACGACGAACGAUUCGAUAUCAUUCUUUGAUGUUUUCACAGAGUUUUUUUCAGACAGAGAAAUGAUGAUAUGAAAUUUUCUUCAAAAUUCAGAAAAAUUCGUCUAAUUUGUAUUAAAAUGAAACGUGUGAAAAACCACAAGUGUGCGAAAAAUGACGUGGUUUCAGACAAAACACCAACAAAGCCUAUUAUUCCUCCAGAGAGCCAAUGAAAACGGUGCUUUCAAGUAAAAUUCCGCCCUUUUCUGCCAAUUUCUAACCUAAGAAUGUGUUUGUUGUGUGUCCAAAAUGCAACCACGAAAGUAUGCCGAAGAUGGCACAGACGGCUGCCUUGUCCAAUACUAGCCUAACAUGAAAAUAAAUAAUACCCUUUUUAUAUAAUUGACGAAAAAUUGGUUGACUUUUAGUGCCACCUAAGUGCCGAUUGUUUAUGUAUAAGUAAUUUAGUUUUAAGCAUUUGUAGCUUUUUCCGUUUUGAACUGUGCUCACGAUAAGAAGUGCUUAUUCGCAAUUUUACAGCUAAGUAUGACAAUAAACGGUACAUUUUUUCUUCCAUAUUUUGUACUUUAGCACUUAAAAAUUAUUUAUCCCUCGUAAGGUACUAGACUUAGACUGCUGAUUUUUACUCGAAAUUUGCGAAAAAGUGCAUUUUUAUGGUACUAUGACGAGGAUCUUCACAAACUUCCCUCGAUCAAACUGUAAACCAAGCAGGUCCAAAAUCCUAGAAUUCCUCAACCCUAA